CUGGGCUCCUGGUGCCCUGACUUCUGAGUGAUAUUGAACGGAAGCUGAGCUGCAGGCCUGGAAAAGACACUGAGAUGCUGACAAUGAGGAUAGCUCCCACUCCUGAGCGCCUACUAUCUGCCUUUCUUGAGCCAUCUCACGUAACCUUCAUGACAACACUGUGUGGUCAGCAUUAUUCCCCCAUGAUACCAAUGAAGAAUCAAAAAUGGCUAACGCCAACUCAAACUAUUUCUGAAAAGAGUUGCUGGGGACAAAGUGGAGAUGUGGGUAGGC